UUGCGUAGGCAGCUUACUAGAGGUUCACUGACGCUGAUGCACGAAAGCGUGGGGAUCAAACAGGAUUAGAUACCCUGGUAGUCCACGCCGUAAACGAUGAUAACUCGCUGUUGGCGAUACACAGUCAGCGGCUUAGCGAAAGCGUUAAGUUAUCCACCUGGGGAGUACGCUCGCAAGAGUGAAACUCAAAGGAAUUGACGGGGGCCCGCACAAGCGGAGGAACAUGUGGUUUAAUUCGAUGAUACGCGAGGAACCUUACCUGGGCUUAAAUGUGGAGUGACUGCCGAAGAAAUUUGGUUUUCCGCAAGGACACUCUACAAGGUGCUGCAUGGUUGUCGUCAGCUCGUGCCGUGAGGUGUCGGGUUAAGUCCCAUAACGAGCGCAACCCUUAUGAUUAGUUGCUAACAGGUCAAGCUGAGGACUCUAGUCAGACUGCCACCGUAAGGUGUGAGGAAGGUGGGGAUGACGUCAAAUCAGCACGGCCCUUAUGUCCAGGGCUACACACGUGUUACAAUGGCCGAUACAGAGGGCAGCUACCAAGCGAUUGGAUGCUAAUCCGGAAAAGCCGGUCUCAGUUCGGAUCGGAGUCUGCAACCCGACUCCGUGAAGCUGGAUUCGCUAGUAAUCGCGCAUCAGCCAUGGCGCGGUGAAUACGUUCCCGGGCCUUGUACACACCGCCCGUCAAACCAUGGGAGCCGAGGGUACCUGAAGUCUGUGACCGCGAGGAGCGGCCUAGGGUAAAAUUGGUGACUAGGGUU
rnacentral:rRNA from 1 species